CUCCUACGGGAGGCAGCAGUGAGGAAUAUUGCGCAAUGGGGGAAACCCUGACGCAGCCAUGCCGCGUGAGUGAAGAAGGCCUUAGGGUUGUAAAGCUCUUUCAGUCGUGAAGAUAAUGACGGUAGCGACAGAAGAAGCCCCGGCUAAAUUCGUGCCAGCGCCGCGGUAA
rnacentral:rRNA from 1 species